rnacentral:lncRNA from 1 species
GAGGGGCUGUUUUAUAAUUCAUCAGGUCUCGCUAGUGAGUUCCCUUGGAGUCUUAGUUAUAAAGGCAAGUGUGAACCGGACGGCAGACAGGAGAACCUGGCACCAAGGAGACGGAGAAGCUGCCUGUGGUGCCUCCUGCCUCCUCCCUGCUUUGUUCCAAUAAUUUUGUGCUCGGCUCUACGAUGUGGACACGAAGAGAGUUAUGGGCAACCACGGCCAGACAGGACCGCAAUUGAGAAGCAGCCUUUGGACACAUGGACCUGGUUUCCAAUAUGGGAUUUGUUCUUUAGUUUUUUCCUGCGUCGCCUGGAACACGUGUCUACUUCUGUAAACUGGGUGAUGCUAACACACACACCAUAGGGUUGUUGGGGAAAGAAGUAGGAUGAAUCUCCAUACAAGGGAUUCAGUACAGACCUGGCAAAUAGUAAGCCCUCAGUUCUGGAAAGACUGAAAUAAACAUCCCAGAGAUGGUGAAACUAGGUGCAUAGAAGGUAGAGAGCUCAGAAGCUAUGAGGAUUUCAGGGCUAUCCAAGGGGGAAGAUAUUUUUCAAAGUCCUCUGUUGUAUUUGUUCAGCAAUGUUCUCAAGCUGUAGAGCAAAUGGUGAAUAAGAAGGUGGGUCACCUGAGCAAAGGCAAAUUUUGCUAAGCUAAAGGAUCUGUUGUUUCAAACAAGAAAAUAGAUUGCAAAUCAUUUAGCUUAGCAAAAAUGAAAGUCAAAUGGUGUCCGUUACAAUUGCAAAACAUACUUUCGC